ensembl:lncRNA
GUGAGUACGCCUUUUCUUAUCUUCCAACAUGUUCUGUUGUGCAACCUAGGGUUACUUGCACAUAGGGUUGUGGUGAACUAAUCUUAUAACCAGUGUAGGGUAUUUUUACACACAGUCUAGGAUAAAGUAAAAAGAAUGUGCGCUUACUUUAGGAGAUCAUUUUUCCCUGCUUGAGGUCUUCUUGGAGGAUUAUGGAGGAAUUGGACAUCUUCAUUUCGAACAGCCCGGAAGAGGGAUCCCCCAAACCCUCGCUGAUUCCCUCCCCCCACUCACAAAGGUGGUUAACCAACUCGACCUUAUAUUCACCAAGAACUGCUCCACCACCGACCUUACUGUAACACUUCUUCAUGUCCCUCACCACUCUUUAUCUUACUCUCUUCCCCUCUUUCAAACUGACACCUCCUUCUACACAUACUGCGCCUAGCCGCCACAAACCUUUGCACCCUGUGUCCCUCUAUUUGCCUCGUCCUGCUCUGUGGUUGAUAGAUUCGGUGCGUGCUGACCGAACCACAAGAGCAGCUGAUAGACAAUGGUGCAAAUCCAAGAGCCCUGACAACCUUCAUGCCUAUGACCCUCUUUUCUCCUCUUUUUCAGUCUCCUUAUCUGCACCACCAAAGCUCAAUCUGGACAAGACUGUGCGGCUCUUCCUUCCAGGGAAUAAAUCAACCACAAUCUCUCCAUCAAUGUUGAGAACUCUAUGGUGUCUACGGCUAAAAGGGGAAGGAACUCCUGCAUAUGCAUGCUCCACAACAUCAGCAGGAUACGUGUGUUUCUCAUUCAGAAGGCCACGCAGGUUUGUCAUUUGUGUGUCAUCAUGUCAUUUUGCAAAUAGACUACUUCGACCCCCAUCUGGCUGGUCUGUCAGCAUGUACCAUUCGACGUCUGUAGCGCAUCCAGAAGGGCGCAAUGUGGCCAGUCAACCCACCCAAGUUCUCAUGCAACACCGCGCCAACGCACUCUGCACCGGCUACCAUUUGGAUGCUUGAAUCCGAUUCAUGUCACUGGUACUUGCCUACAGUGCUGCAAUUUGGCUCAGGCCCGUCCUAACAACCGGCUUGCUGUGAGUGGUCCCCAG